GGAACGUGCCAUUGAGUGGGGGAUAACGUAGCGAAAGUUGCGCUAAUACCGCAUAUUCUGUGAGCAGGAAAGCAGGGGACCGCAAGGCCUUGCGCUCUUUGAGCGGCCGAUGUCAGAUUAGCUAGUUGGUGAGGUAACGGCUUACCAAGGCGACGAUCUGUAGCGGGUCUGAGAGGAUGAUCCGCCACACUGGAACUGAGACACGGUCCAGACUCCUACGGGAGGCAGCAGUGGGGAAUUUUGGACAAUGGGGGCAACCCUGAUCCAGCCAUGCCGCGUGAGUGAAGAAGGCCUUCGGGUUGUAAAGCUCUUUCGGCCGGGAAGAAAUCGCAUGGGCCAAUACCCUGUGUGGAUGACGGUACCGGAAUAAGAAGCACCGGCUAACUACGUGCCAGCAGCCGCGGUAAUACGUAGGGUGCGAGCGUUAAUCGGAAUUACUGGGCGUAAAGCGUGCGCAGGCGGUUUUGUAAGACAGGCGUGAAAUCCCCGGGCUCAACCUGGGAACUGCGUUUGUGACUGCAAGGCUAGAGUACGGCAGAGGGGGGUGGAAUUCCACGUGUAGCAGUGAAAUGCGUAGAGAUGUGGAGGAACACCAAUGGCGAAGGCAGCCCCCUGGGUCGAUACUGACGCUCAUGCACGAAAGCGUGGGUAGCAAACAGGAUUAGAUACCCUGGUAGUCCACGCCCUAAACUAUGUCAACUAGGUGUUGGGUGGGUAAAACCAUUUAGUACCGUAGCUAACGCGUGAAGUUGACCGCCUGGGGAGUACGGCCGCAAGGUUAAAACUCAAAGGAAUUGACGGGGACCCGCACAAGCGGUGGAUGAUGUGGAUUAAUUCGAUGCAACGCGAAAAACCUUACCUACCCUUGACAUGCCAGGAACUUGCCAGAGAUGGCUUGGUGCCCGAAAGGGAGCCUGGACACAGGUGCUGCAUGGCUGUCGUCAGCUCGUGUCGUGAGAUGUUGGGUUAAGUCCCGCAACGAGCGCAACCCUUGUCGUUAAUUGCCAUCAUUUAGUUGGGCACUUUAGCGAGACUGCCGGUGACAAACCGGAGGAAGGUGGGGAUGACGUCAAGUCCUCAUGGCCCUUAUGGGUAGGGCUUCACACGUCAUACAAUGGUCGGUACAAAGGGUCGCCAAGCCGCGAGGUGGAGCCAAUCCCAGAAAGCCGAUCGUAGUCCGGAUUGCAGGCUGCAACUCGCCUGCAUGAAGUCGGAAUCGCUAGUAAUCGUGGAUCAGCAUGUCACGGUGAAUACGUUCCCGGGUCUUGUACACACCGCCCGUCACACCAUGGGAGCGGGUUCCGCCAGAAGUAGGUAGCCUAACCGUAAGGAGGGCGCUUACCACGGCGG
rnacentral:rRNA from 1 species